UGGCUCAGGAUGAACGCUAGCGACAGGCCUAACACAUGCAAGUCGAGGGGCAUCGGGGCGAGGAGCAAUCCUUGCCGCCGGCGACCGGCGCACGGGUGAGUAACGCGUAUGCGACCUGCCCGUUGCAGGGGGAUAAUCGGGAGAAAUCCCGUCUAAUACCGCGUAACGCCGCGGGGCUGCAUGGCCCUGCGGCCAAAGGGAGCGAUUCCGGCAACGGAUGGGCAUGCGUGACAUUAGCUAGUUGGCGGGGCAACGGCCCACCAAGGCGACGAUGUCUAGGGGUUCUGAGAGGAAGGUCCCCCACACUGGUACUGAGACACGGACCAGACUCCUACGGGAGGCAGCAGUGAGGAAUAUUGGUCAAUGGGCGCGAGCCUGAACCAGCCAAGUCGCGUGAGGGAUGACGGCCCUACGGGUUGUAAACCUCUUUUGUCGGGGAGCAAAUUCCGCCACGUGUGGCGGAGUCGAGAGUACCCGAAGAAAAAGCAUCGGCUAACUCCGUGCCAGCAGCCGCGGUAAUACGGAGGAUGCGAGCGUUAUCCGGAUUUAUUGGGUUUAAAGGGUGCGUAGGCGGACUGUCAAGUCAGCGGUAAAAUACGGGGGCUCAACCUCCGCCCGCCGUUGAAACUGACGGUCUUGAGUGGGCGAGAAGUAUGCGGAAUGCGUGGUGUAGCGGUGAAAUGCAUAGAUAUCACGCAGAACUCCGAUUGCGAAGGCAGCAUACCGGCGCCCAACUGACGCUGAAGCACGAAAGCGUGGGUAUCGAACAGGAUUAGAUACCCUGGUAGUCCACGCAGUAAACGAUGAAUACUAGCUGUCCGGGGCGAAUGAGCCCUGGGUGGCACAGCGAAAGCGUUAAGUAUUCCACCUGGGGAGUACGCCGGCAACGGUGAAACUCAAAGGAAUUGACGGGGGCCCGCACAAGCGGAGGAACAUGUGGUUUAAUUCGAUGAUACGCGAGGAACCUUACCCGGGCUCAAACGACACAGGAACGUACCUGAAAGGGUUCGGCUCUACGGAGCCUGUGUCGAGGUGCUGCAUGGUUGUCGUUAGCUCGUGCCGUGAGGUGUCGGCUUAAGUGCCAUAACGAGCGCAACCCCCAUCGACAGUUGCUAACAGGUUAGGCUGAGGACUCUGUCGAGACUGCCGGCGCAAGCUGCGAGGAAGGCGGGGAUGACGUCAAAUCAGCACGGCCCUUACGUCCGGGGCGACACACGUGUUACAAUGGCAGGUACAGCGGGAAGCCACCUGGCGACAGGGAGCGGAACCCGAAAGCCUGUCUCAGUUCGGAUUGGAGUCUGCAACCCGACUCCAUGAAGCUGGAUUCGCUAGUAAUCGCGCAUCAGCCACGGCGCGGUGAAUACGUUCCCGGGCCUUGUACACACCGCCCGUCAAGCCAUGGAAGCCGGGGGUGCCUGAAGUGCGCUGCCGCGAGGAGCGCCCUAGGGUAAAACCGGUGACUGGGGCUAAGUCGUAACAAGGU
rnacentral:rRNA from 1 species